rnacentral:rRNA from 1 species
UACGUAGGGUGCGAGCGUUAAUCGGAAUUACUGGGCGUAAAGCGUGCGCAGGCGGUUCGUUAAGUUCGUUGUGAAAGCCCCGGGCUUAACCUGGGAAUGGCAGUGGAAACUAUGGGACUUGAAUCUGGCAGAGGGGGGUGGAAUGCCACGUGUAGCAGUGAAAUGCGUAGAGAUGUGGCGGAACACCGAUGGCGAAGGCAGCCCCCUGGGCUGAGAUUGACGCUCAGGCACGAAAGCGUGGGGAGCAAACAGG